GGCUGUAGAUCUUUUGAGCAUCUUCAGUGGGAGCAGAAACUGAAAUCAGAACUUCUGGCUUUCAGCUACCAACAUAUGAUAACAUACAUCUUCUGUAAAAUAGUGAGCAAACUUAUGUAUGCCCUUGUUAUGGAUCAGCACAUCCCUGGUCGCUGUCAAGAUGCUUUUAAGAUUAAAACUGGAUGGCUUGACCUCAGGAAGCUUUUCUUCUGUUUUCCAAAUGCAUAGACAUUGCCUAACCACAGAUGACCUCCUCUCCAGACACAAAUAGAAAGCAGUCAGUAAAUGAGGAUAAAUAGACUGAAACCCCAAUGGAAUAAAUUAUCUUCAAAUGAAAUAAUCAUGUGUCAGAAGGAUGAAGGAAGGAAAUGAGUUUGGAGAAGAUCAUCCUUGCAGUGGAGACCAAAACAAGUAUGUCUAAGGGGUAAAGAAGUGAAGUGAAAAGAAAGCGUGACAGAAGAAUAUCUCUUAAGUUGAAACAUCC